GAUGAACGCUGGCGGCGUGCCUAACACAUGCAAGUCGAACGGAGUCGUUUUGGAAAUCUCUUCGGAGAUGGAAUUCUCGACUUAGUGGCGGACGGGUGAGUAACGCGUGAGCAAUCUGCCUUUAAGAGGGGGAUAACAGUCGGAAACGGCUGCUAAUACCGCAUAAAGCAUUAAAUUCGCAUGUUUUUGAUGCCAAAGGAGCAAUCCGCUUUUAGAUGAGCUCGCGUCUGAUUAGCUAGUUGGCGGGGUAACGGCCCACCAAGGCGACGAUCAGUAGCCGGACUGGGAGGUUGAACGGCCACAUUGGGACUGAGACACGGCCCAGACUCCUACGGGAGGCAGCAGUGGGGAAUAUUGCGCAAUGGUGGAAACCCUGACGCAGCAACGCCGCGUGAUGGAAGAAGGCCUUCGGGUUGUAAAGAUCUUUAAUCAGGGACGAAACAAAUGACGGUACCUGAAGAAUAAGCUCCGGCUAACUACGUG
rnacentral:rRNA from 1 species